rnacentral:pre_miRNA from 1 species
AAAGUACUCCCUCCGUCCCAAAUUUUUUGUCUUAGAUUUGUCUAGAUACGGAUGUAUCAAGUCACAUUUUAGUAUUAGAUACAUCCGUAUCUAGACAAAUCUAAGACAAGAAAUUUGGGACAGAGGGAGUAGUUG